AUUGAACGCUGGCGGCAGGCUUAACACAUGCAAGUCGAGCGGGGUGAUGGUGCUUGCACUAUCACUUAGCGGCGGACGGGUGAGUAAUGCUUAGGAAUCUGCCUAUUAGUGGGGGACAACAUCUCGAAAGGGAUGCUAAUACCGCAUACGUCCUACGGGAGAAAGCAGGGGAUCACUUGUGACCUUGCGCUAAUAGAUGAGCCUAAGUCGGAUUAGCUAGUUGGUGGGGUAAAGGCCUACCAAGGCGACGAUCUGUGGCGGGUCCGAGAGGAUGAUCCGCCACACUGGGACUGAGACACGGCCCAGACUCCUACGGGAGGCAGCAGUGGGGAAUAUUGGACAAUGGGGGGAACCCUGAUCCAGCCAUGCCGCGUGUGUGAAGAAGGCCUUAUGGUUGUAAAGCACUUUAAGCGAGGAGGAGGCUCUUUUGGUUAAUACCCAAGAUGAGUGGACGUUACUCGCAGAAUAAGCACCGGCUAACUCUGUGCCAGCAGCCGCGGUAA
rnacentral:rRNA from 1 species